CCAUGCCGCGUGUCUGAAGAAGGCCUUCGGGUUGUAAAGGACUUUUGUCAGGAGCAAAACUUACUGGUUAAUACCUGGUGAGGUUGAGAGUACCUGAAGAAUAAGCACCGGCUAACUACGUGCCAGCAGCCGCGGUAAUACGUAGGGUGCAAGCGUUAAUCGGAAUUACUGGGCGUAAAGCGUGCGCAGGCGGACUUUUAAGCCAGAUGUGAAAGCCCCGAGCUUAACUUGGGAAUUGCGUUUGGAACUGGGAGUCUAGAGUCUGUCAGAGGGGGAUGGAAUUCCACGUGUAGCAGUGAAAUGCGUAGAGAUGUGGAGGAACACCGAUGGCGAAGGCAGUCCCCUGGGAUAAGACUGACGCUCAUGCACGAAAGCGUGGGGAGCAAACAGGAUUAGAUACCCUGGUAGUCCACGCCCUAAACGAUGUCUACUAGUUGUUGGGGUAGCAAUACCUCAGUGACGCAGCUAACGCGUGAAGUAGACCGCCUGGGGAGUACGGUCGCAAGAUUAAAACUCAAAGGAAUUGACGGGGAG
rnacentral:rRNA from 1 species